CAAUAGCGUAUAUUUAAGUUGCUGCAGUUAAAAAGCUCGUAGUUGGAUUUCGGGUGGGAAUGGCCGGUCCGCCGUUUCGGUGUGCACUUGCUACGCCCACCUUGCUGCCGGGGACGUGCUCUUGAGUUCACGCUCGGGACACGGAGUCGGCGAGGUUACUUUGAGUAAAUUAGAGUGUUCAAAGCAGGCCUACGCUCUGAAUACAUUAGCAUGGAAUAACACGAUAGGACUCUGGCCUAUCUUGUUGGUCUGUGGGACCGGAGUAAUGAUUAAGAGGGACAGUCGGGGGCAUUCGUAUUUCAUUGUCAGAGGUGAAAUUCUUGGAUUUAUGAAAGACGAACUACUGCGAAAGCAUUUGCCAAGGAUGUUUUCAUUGA
rnacentral:rRNA from 1 species